AGGCAUUUGGGAAACAUCAGAUGCAGGGAAGGCUCUCUAAUCUAUUCUUUUCUACCUAAGAAGAGGCCAUAAAAUGUCUCAUGAGAAAGAUGAAAUUCAUGAAUCCAAGGCCUUAUUUCUUGAAGAUGAAGUCCCCAGGUUUUCAAGCAUGUGGAGGCUACCUGGAAGUAUACUGAGGAAAG